AGGGCAGGCCAGGCCGCCGCUUUCCCCGGCAUCGCGGGAAAGAGGAAAGUCCGGGCUCCGAAGAGCGCGGUACCGGGUAACGCCCGGACGCGGGGAAAGGGCGAAAGCCUUUUUCCCCGCGAUAGACAGUGCCACAGAAAAUAUACCGCCCGUCUGCCGAUUGGCAGGCGGGUAAGGGUGAAAAGGCGGUGUAAGAGACCUCCGCCUCCUUCGGCAACGGGGAGGGCAGGGCAAACCUUACCGGGAGCAAAGUCAAAAAGCGGGAAUGGGCUGCUCGGCCCGUUUUUUCCCGCGGGUAGACUGCUUUGAGGGAUUCCUGCGCGAGUGGCGAUCCCCAGAUAGAUGGCGGCCCGGGGACACCUCCUUCCGGGGGGUGUCCUGGACAGAACCCGGCUUACCGGCCUGCCCUUUUU
rnacentral:RNase_P_RNA from 1 species